UGGUUCUUUUGUCGUGCCCAGCUCUUAAUAAUCACAGUAACAUUCCAUUAAAUGGACUGGAGAAGUCUUGAUUACAAUAAUCAUAUUGCUUUUUACUUUUCAACACUAUUGGAUCUUGUGUCAUACCAUCUUUAGAUGGUGGAUGGAGUAUAUGGAGGUGUUCCUGCUACCUCUCUAUAUGUAGACAACGUCACUGUUGUUGUGAGGUUCUUAUUUCUAAGCCUUAAUGUAUGUCCGUUACAGCGCCCUUAGGGAGCAAAACGUGGCAGAUAUUACUACACCCUCAAAUUUAAAUGGACUGUAGAAGUCAAGAUUACAAUAAUGAUACUUUCAGCACCAUUGCACGGUUUGGUUGUCUUGCCCAGCUCUUAAUGGUCCAAAAUGCUGUACAAUGGGUUAUGUUUUAAAAAUUGAAGAUAAAAGAUCAAGUUUUGAAUAUCUUCUUUUUUUCUCUGAAGAUGGCAAAUCAAAUUAUUAAUUCACGAGCUCUUAAGAUAAUAAAAAUAUCAGGUGUUAAAGUUUGGAGGUAUAAACAAGUCAUUCUCAAUCAAAAUAUUGCAAAAUUGUAAUGUUAGUGGAUUUUCUCAUUGUUGAAGCCCAUACAGUAACCUAUUUUACAUUAACAUCAUUUGGUCUCUGUAGGAUAGUUGUCUCACAUCUCUUGAUAUCACAACAAAACAAUUUGUAGGUUCUCAAAGGUGGGCCAAUGAUGAAGGUAGGGGAAAUUUUGACUGCCAGCCGAGAGGAGGAUAAUGUUGGACAGAAAGUUAGCCUUGCAACAAGCCACAUCCUACUGACACCUCAAAAGAUUUGUGGCAAGGGUUCUUUAACAUGCAGAGUUGCACUGUCCCUACAGAAAGGACCUAUACUUUUUAAACUGCCAUUCCAAUUUUUGUUUUGUUUUAAAUAUGAUAACUUUAGAAGACUUAAAGGCGGGGGUCAUAAAAAUAUCAAAAUAAUCCCACCCUCAAUGUUUAUUAUCUAGAACUCUGUUUUCUAUUUUGCUUUCAUAUUAUUUUUUGGUAUUUUCUUUUUUAUAUAUUUUUUUCUUUUUUUUUUUACAGAGCUCUAGAUAAUAAAAAUAUCAGAUGUUAAAGUUUGGAGGUAUAAACAAGUCAUUCUAAAUCAGAAUAUUGCACAAUUUUAAUGUUAGUGGAUUUUCUCAUUGUUGGAGCCCAUACAGUAACCUAUUUUACAUUAACAUCAAUUGGUCUCUGUAGUAUAGUUGUCUCACAUCUCUUGAUAUCACAACAAAUCAAUUUGUAGGUUCUAUAAAGUGGUCCAAUCCUAUGGUGAAGGGAGGGGAAAUUUUGACUGCCAACCGAGGAGGAUAUUUUUGGACAGAAAUUUAGCCUAAUGCAACAAGCCACAUCCUACUGACACCUCAAAAGAGUUGUGACAAGGGUUCUUUAACGUGCAGAGUGGCACUGUCUGUCCCUACAAAUAGGACCUAUACUUUCCCGCUACCUCUAUGUGUAGACAACAUCACUGUUGUUGUGACAUUCUUAUUUCUAAGCCUUAAUUUAUGUCCGUUACAACGCCCUUAGGGAGGAAAUAGUAGCAGAUAGUACUACACCCUCAAAUGGAUUGUAGAAGUCCAGUUUACAAUAAUGGUACUUUCAGCACCAUAACCCGCUUUGGUUGUCUUGUCCAGCUCUUAAUGGUCCAAAAUGCUGUACAAUGGAUUAUGAUUUAAAAAUUGAAGAUAAAAGAUUAAGUUUUGAAUAUAUCUACUUUUUUUCUUUGAAGAUGGCAAAUCAAAUUAUUAAUUCAUUAAAAAUUCAGAAUAACUCAAAUCUUUACACCACACAAACGCGCCAACAAAGAAUGUGCAAUGAAAAGAAUUGAGUUAUUGUUUGAAACAUCAAAAAUGUUAAAGUUUCACGCAUUGUUUUUUAUUUGAACAGCAAUUUUCAGAUCUCAGGACAAGUUUUCUUUGGAACACACUCAGGACAAGUUAUCUUUGGAAGACAUUAUAAAUUUCUGUUUUGCAAAAGAUUAAAAGUUUUGGAUACUUU
rnacentral:lncRNA from 1 species